GGGCCUUUAGCUCAAUGGUAGAGUACUGCAUUGACAUUGCAGGGGUAGUUGGUUCGAUCCCAACAAGGCCCACCA
rnacentral:tRNA from 1 species